rnacentral:rRNA from 1 species
UACAGAGGUCUCAAGCGUUGUUCGGAUUCAUUGGGCGUAAAGGGUGUGUAGGUGGCGCCGUAAGUCGGGUGUGAAAUUUCGGAGCUUAACUCCGAAACUGCAUUCGAUACUGCGGUGCUUGAGGACUGGAGAGGAGACUGGAAUUCAUGGUGUAGCAGUGAAAUGCGUAGAGAUCAUGAGGAAGACCAGUGGCGAAAGCGAAGCUCUGGUCAGAUUCUGACGCUGAGGCACGAAGGCUAGGGGAGCGAACAGG